CCUACGGGAGGCAGCAGUGAGGAAUAUUGGUCAAUGGACGAGAGUCUGAACCAGCCACGUAGCGUGAAGGAUGACUGCCCUAUGGGUUGUAAACUUCUUUUAUAUGGGAAUAAAACAGGGUAUGCAUACCCUCUUGUAUGUACCAUAUGAAUAAGGAUCGGCUAACUCCGUGCCAGCAGCCGCGGUAAUACGGAGGAUCCGAGCGUUAUCCGGAUUUAUUGGGUUUAAAGGGAGCGUAGGUGGAUUGUUAAGUCAGUUGUGAAAGUUUGGGGCUCAACCGUAAAAUUGCAAUUAAAACUGGCAGUCUUGAGUACAGUAGAGGUAGGCGGAAUUCGUGGUGUAGCGGUGAAAUGCUUAGAUAUCACGAAGAACUCCGAUAGCGAAGGCAGCUCACUGGACUGCAACUGACACUGAUGCUCGAAAGUGUGGGUAGCAAACAGGAUUAGAUACCCUAGUAGUC
rnacentral:rRNA from 1 species